rnacentral:lncRNA from 1 species
CGAAGCUCCACACUGUGACACAGUUUGAUCUCAGUCCAUCUGUGGCUCUGCAGGACCUCAGGCCGACAGCAGCUGAGGACCACAGUGAGGCCCGGCGUGAAAACACUGAUUCACACUUAGUUAACGUUUAAAUGGACCGGAACCAGCUGGAGGAACGGGACACAGCCUGCAUGGAUCUGAGCUGCUGGUUUCUUCUCAGGAAAGCGUUUCUGUCUGGAGGGAAAGAGGGACGGACGCGGCCCCUGACGCCGGUCCCGCAGGUCCAAACGUGGUUCUACCGCGGUUCUAGCAGCCUCAGCCUCAGCGCUCUCAUUGUUCUUCAGACGUACACAUGUGCGCGCGCUGAUCGCCGUGCAUGUGCUCGUUGUCUUCCCUUGUUAUUUUUAAGUGUAUUAACGAGUCGGGAACAAAAGGCCGCCUCAGGAGGAACAGCGUUGUUCUCACGACAUAUGUUCCACUGCAACACGUUGGAAUAAAUUACCAAACAGUCUUUAUUUAAUCAUCUUUGAGGCUGUCGCCUUCCUGGUGUCGGUCGCAGCACAUCCACAGAGCUGCAGAACGUGAACGCAGGCGCGGGUUCAUCCCGUUGGACUUCAUACGUGGAAGCGCAGCUCCUCCGCUCCGUCAGCGGAGCUUCGUACUCUAUAAAUAGAGCCGGUAUUUUUGCUCACACUGCAACAGAGACAACACAAACACCGCGCUGACGUCUGACAGCAAACGCUUCCUGCAUCUGAACAACACAAACAAGUCAGUGAACCGCUGCGGGUCAGCGCUGGGCGUGGGCCGACACGGUCCGGACCAGGGUUCUGGGCAGUGGAUCAGUACGUCCGCACUCCUGGGAUGUUAGGUUUAAAAGAAGGGUUUAAGCUGUGAUUUGUUUCAGUUUCUUGAGUCUUUGCGUUUGACAUGAGGUCAGAGCCAAGUUCACCACAUCAAACAGAACGUGUUAAUGCUGCCUUCAGCAGAAAAUAAUGAAGCUCCUCAGAGAAACAGCCAACCAGCGACUGUGGACGGAUGCACUCAAUUAAAUCAGCUCCACAAUCUGCAUGUGAACGAUCUGUGACGAGACGCUGCCGUGUUGUUUGCAUCGUUUUACUUUAUGUCAAUGUCAGUUAAUGUGAGAAACUGCAAAUGAAUGGAAAAGGUGGACCAUCAUCAGCAUCGUCACCAUGGAGACGGGAGGCGGGUAGCAGCUCAGAGGCCGAGGCGCCGG